UGCAAACUGCGAAUACCGGAGAAUGUUAUCACGGGAGACACACGGCGGGUGCUAACGUCCGUCGUGAAGAGGGAAACAACCCAGACCGCCAGCUAAGGUCCCAAAGUCAUGGUUAAGUGGGAAACGAUGUGGGAAGGCCCAGACAGCCAGGAUGUUGGCUUAGAAGCAGCCAUCAUUUAAAGAAAGCGUAAUAGCUCACUGGUCGAGUCGGCCUGCGCGGAAGAUGUAACGGGGCUAAACCAUGCACCGAAGCUGCGGCAGCGACACUAUGUGUUGUUGGGUAGGGGAGCGUUCUGUAAGCCUGUGAAGGUGGCCUGUGAGGGUUGCUGGAGGUAUCAGAAGUGCGAAUGCUGACAUAAGUAACGAUAAAGCGGGUGAAAAGCCCGCUCGCCGGAAGACCAAGGGUUCCUGUCCAACGUUAAUCGGGGCAGGGUGAGUCGACCCCUAAGGCGAGGCCGAAAGGCGUAGUCGAUGGGAAACAGGUUAAUAUUCCUGUACUUGGUGUUACUGCGAAGGGGGGACGGAGAAGGCUAUGUUGGCCGGGCGACGGUUGUCCCGGUUUAAGCGUGUAGGCUGGUUUUCCAGGCAAAUCCGGAAAACCAAGGCUGAGGCGUGAUGACGAGGCACUACGGUGCUGAAGUGACAAAUGCCCUGCUUCCAGGAAAAGCCUCUAAGCAUCAGGUAACAUCAAAUCGUACCCCAAACCGACACAGGUGGUCAGGUAGAGAAUACCAAGGCGCUUGAGAGAACUCGGGUGAAGGAACUAGGCAAAAUGGUGCCGUAACUUCGGGAGAAGGCACGCUGAUAUGUAGGUGAAGCGACUUGCUCGUGGAGCUGAAAUCAGUCGAAGAUACCAGCUGGCUGCAACUGUUUAUUAAAAACACAGCACUGUGCAAACACGAAAGUGGACGUAUACGGUGUGACGCCUGCCCGGUGCCGGAAGGUUAAUUGAUGGGGUUAGCGGUAACGCGAAGCUCUUGAUCGAAGCCCCGGUAAACGGCGGCCGUAACUAUAACGGUCCUAAGGUAGCGAAAUUCCUUGUCGGGUAAGUUCCGACCUGCACGAAUGGCGUAAUGAUGGCCAGGCUGUCUCCACCCGAGACUCAGUGAAAUUGAACUCGCUGUGAAGAUGCAGUGUACCCGCGGCAAGACGGAAAGACCCCGUGAACCUUUACUAUAGCUUGACACUGAACAUUGAGCCUUGAUGUGUAGGAUAGGUGGGAGGCUUUGAAGUGUGGACGCCAGUCUGCAUGGAGCCGACCUUGAAAUACCACCCUUUAAUGUUUGAUGUUCUAACGUUGGCCCGUAAUCCGGGUUGCGGACAGUGUCUGGUGGGUAGUUUGACUGGGGCGGUCUCCUCCUAAAGAGUAACGGAGGAGCACGAAGGUUGGCUAAUCCUGGUCGGACAUCAGGAGGUUAGUGCAAUGGCAUAAGCCAGCUUGACUGCGAGCGUGACGGCGCGAGCAGGUGCGAAAGCAGGUCAUAGUGAUCCGGUGGUUCUGAAUGGAAGGGCCAUCGCUCAACGGAUAAAAGGUACUCCGGGGAUAACAGGCUGAUACCGCCCAAGAGUUCAUAUCGACGGCGGUGUUUGGCACCUCGAUGUCGGCUCAUCACAUCCUGGGGCUGAAGUAGGUCCCAAGGGUAUGGCUGUUCGCCAUUUAAAGUGGUACGCGAGCUGGGUUUAGAACGUCGUGAGACAGUUCGGUCCCUAUCUGCCGUGGGCGCUGGAGAACUGAGGGGGGCUGCUCCUAGUACGAGAGGACCGGAGUGGACGCAUCACUGGUGUUCGGGUUGUCAUGCCAAUGGCACUGCCCGGUAGCUAAAUGCGGAAGAGAUAAGUGCUGAAAGCAUCUAAGCACGAAACUUGCCCCGAGAUG
rnacentral:rRNA from 1 species